UACGGGGGGGGCAAGCGUUGUUCGGAAUUACUGGGCGUAAAGGGCUCGUAGGUGGCCAACUAAGUCAGACGUGAAAUCCCUCGGCUUAACCGGGGAACUGCGUCUGAUACUGGAUGGCUUGAGUUCGGGAGAGGGAUGCGGAAUUCCAGGUGUAGCGGUGAAAUGCGUAGAUAUCUGGAGGAACACCGGUGGCGAAGGCGGCUCACUGGUCCAUUACUGACGCUGAGGUGCGAAAGCGUGGGGAGCAAACAGG
rnacentral:rRNA from 1 species